CCCUUAGAUGUUCUGGGCCGCACGCGUGCUACACUGAGUAAAUCAAUGGGUAAGGGAACACGAAAGUGCAACCUAAUCUUGAAAUUUGCUCGUGAUGGGGAUCGACGGUUGCAAUUUUCCGUCGUGAACGAGGAAUACCUUGUAGGCGCGUGUCAUCAUCACGCGCCGAAUACGUCCCUGCCCUUUGUACACACCGCCCGUCGCUCCUACCGAUUGAGUGAUCCGGUGAGGCUCUGGGACCUGGACGGAAAGAGCGUUUCGCUUGUUCUGUUUGGGAAACUGGGUCGAACCUUAUCAUUUAGAGGAAGGAGAAGUCGUAACA
rnacentral:rRNA from 1 species